GGAAGAAGAGAAAGAGAAAGAAGGGAUUAGGAGUUCGGGAAGCAGAGUAAAGGGUGGAGGAAGAUGGCCAUCAUUGCAGUUGUAGAUCACUCAAAAUCCUACCAAUCUUAGCAAACUUUUGGCUAAACCACCUUGCAAAACUCAUCUACACCUGUUCUAUGCUUUGAACCAAGCCUUGGUUCAUUUAUUCUCUCACUCAAGAAAACGAAAUCAAGGAAGAAAAGAAAGGUUCUGCUGCUGUCUUCUCUUCAUUCUCAGCAUUUCUAACAUCCUUGAGGCGAACUAGCAGCACCUGUGCCUCACUUGAACACAGAAUGAUCUCUUAGAAUAGGAGAGAAAGGCUUGAAGAUUUGGUUACUAUCCCUUGCACAAAGGAUUUUUGCUGUGCAUAAAAAUAAAAAGGUUGCGUUGGGAGUCAUUUUCGUUAUCGUAAGGCAGAAGACAAAUGUUCUUCCCUACAAUCCUCAUGUAUUGCUGAUCUCAAGUUGUUUAAGAACAAGAAAUGCAAAGAUUUGAAAUCAAAGAAAGUUGGUAACGAUGCAUCUUCUUUUUGGAGAUAACUUAACAA
rnacentral:misc_RNA from 1 species